rnacentral:rRNA from 1 species
GACGAACGCUGGCGGCGUGCUUAACACAUGCAAGUCGAACGCUGAAGACCUGGCUUUUGUUGGGUUGGAUGAGUGGCGAACGGGUGAGUAACACGUGAGUAACCUGCCCUCUUCUUUGGGAUAACGCCCGGAAACGGGUGCUAAUACUGGAUAUUCACUGAUCUUCGCAUGGGGGUUGGUGGAAAGGUUUGUUCUGGUGGGGGAUGGGCUCGCGGCCUAUCAGCUUGUUGGUGGGGUGAUGGCCUACCAAGGCCUUGACGGGUAGCCGGCCUGAGAGGGUGACCGGUCACAUUGGGACUGAGAUACGGCCCAGACUCCUACGGGAGGCAGCAGUGGGGAAUAUUGCACAAUGGGCGAAAGCCUGAUGCAGCGACGCCGCGUGAGGGAUGGAGGCCUUCGGGUUGUAAACCUCUUUCGCUCAUGGUCAAGCCGCAACUGUGGGUUGUGGUGAGGGUAGUGGGUAAAGAAGCGCCGGCUAACUACGUG